CCCCUAGAUGUUCUGGGCCGCACGCGCGCUACACUGAACAGUUCAACAAGUCUUAACCUUGGCCGAUAGGUCUGGGUAAUCUUUGAACGCUGUUCGUGAUUGGGAUAGACCUUUGCAAUUAUGGGUCUUCAACGAGGAAUUCCUAGUAAACGCAAGUCAUCAGCUUGCAUUGAUACGUCCCUGCCCUUUGUACACACCGCCCGUCGCACCUACCGAUUGAAUGGUCCGGUGAAAUCUCGGGACGGCGGCUUGGUCGCUUGCGUCCGACUGCUGAAACUUGAUUAAACCAUAUCAUUUAGAGGAAGGUGAAGUCGUAACA
rnacentral:rRNA from 1 species